rnacentral:lncRNA from 1 species
CCCCACCACUGUGCUCCUAAAGCCAACAUAAGUGGUUCUUAUGAGAUGUCCAAUACCAUUUGUUCAAUGCAUCAGUGAAUGGUUGAGGUGUGAACUGAUGAACACAUAAUGGGAGUGGGCUGGGCCCAGCAAACUAUAUAUCUGUUACUAGCACCAGAGUCAAAGAUUAAUGAAAUUUCUGUGUGCAAAAUUUCUUCCUCUAAAUUCCAUCAGAGAGGCAUUGUUGAAUACCUGCAUUGUUCCAAGAAAUAAACUAAACACUGCUGACAGUGAGAUUUAUUGGAUAGAAUCAAAUAUGGAUCGUGGAAGAGGAACCAACCACACAAUAUCACCUAAUGGAUUGGUAAAUUUGGGCAAGUUACUCACUGUCCUUGGGCUUUUUGUUGCUUCCUCUGGAAAAUGAGGGAAACUCCCUCUAGCACAGAAAUGUUCUGAUGAUUAAAUGAGAUUAACCAAAGUCAAGUUCCCAGUCCAUUCUAACUGCUCCCUGAGAAUUGGUCUCCUUUCUACUUCCUGCCCCUUCAGAACUUGUGAUCUAAUUCUCCUAUUUUAGAUGAACACACUAAUAGAGGACGAUUGUAGAAGAUUUAGAAGCACGAAAUUACUUCUUUUGAAAAGAAAAAUGCCUGAAAAAAAGAGCUCCUUGUGGUUUUUUCAUCCUACCCCAUUUCCACACUUUUAUGCUGGCCAAAUAUCUUUCUUUCUUCCAUGCAAUUUUCCAAACCAUACUCAAUCACAUGAGCCCUUAGAGCUUAGGGAAUGGGGCCUCCAAGCCUACAAGGGUUCUUGCACUGCUUGUUGAACCUCAAAACAUAAAUAUUUCCGUUCCAGGUGCUCUAUCAGCUCUUUGCUGAAUAACAGAUAAUCCCAAAUAACAGCAAUUUAUUGUUUGUCACAGUCAGUGGGUUGGCUGAUUGGUUUCACUUCAUGUUCAGCCCAGAUUGACCUAUGGGACGACAUUCAGCUACAGGAUUGGCUGGGCUGAAAUUUCCCCAAAGACCUUGUUUCCUGGUUAGUGCUAUUUUUCUGGAGUACCCUGAUUCUCCUCUGUGUGGCAUCUUGUCCUCCAAUGGAAAGACAGAUUUCCUUCUGUGGUGGUCUGGAGGAAAUCUUCCAAUACGGUAAACAUACAAGCUACAUGGUCUUCUAAGGACAAGGCUCCACAAUUUGCACAGAAUCAUUUCUACCACAUUCUAUUGGACAAAGCAA